rnacentral:rRNA from 1 species
UACAAUGGUCGGUACAGAGGGUUGCCAAGCCGCGAGGCGGAGCCAAUCCCACAAAGCCGAUCGUAGUCCGGAUUGUCCUCUGCAACUCGAGAGCAUGAAGUCGGAAUCGCUAGUAAUCGCAGGUCAGCAUACUGCGGUGAAUACGUUCCCGGGUCUU